CAGCGUCACCUCAUACUCUGUGUGUGGCUUCAGAUUCCCAAUUGAGUACUGGCUUUCAUCCUCAGAGAGGUCGAUGGUCGUCCUGUCCCCAGGAACAUCCUUGGGUCCAUAGGAUGGCAAACACACGGAUAAAGUAUUCCACGCCAGGCUCCAGUUCACGGAUGGUAGCAGAUGUCUCGUUUCCAGGCACCCUGAACUGCAGUUCUAGGCCACCAACACUGGAGAUGGCAGAUCCAUUGCUUUCCAGUGUUUUCCUGGGCUCCUUGCUAUGCAGAGACCGGCUUACACCAAAUAUGCCUCCAGCUCGCAACACAGUGGGAUGUUGCCACGUCACUUCAUUGUGCAGUUUCUG